CCUACGGGAGGCAGCAGUGGGGAAUAUUGCACAAUGGGCGGAACCCUGAUGCAGCGACGCCGCGUGAGUGAAGAAGGAUUUCGGUAUGUAAAACUCUAUCAGCAGGGAAGAAAAUGACGGUACCUGACUAAGAACCCCCGGCUAACGACGAGCCAGCAGCCGCGGUAAUACGGAGGGGGCAAGCGUUAUCCGGAGUUACUGGGGGUAAAGGGAGCGCAGUCGGUUUUGCAAGUCUGGAGUGAAAGGCGGGGGGCCAACCCCCGGGCUGCCCUGGAAACUGGAGAGCUGGAGUGCAGGAGAGGUACGCGGAAUUCCUGGUGUAGCGGUGAAAUGCGUAGAUAUUAGGAGGAACACCAGUGGCGAAGGCGGCUUACUGGCCUGCAACUGACGCUGAGGCUCGAAAGCGUGGGUAGCAAACAGGAUUAGAUACCCUAGUAGUC
rnacentral:rRNA from 1 species